UGCUGGUGCUCCUGCUGCUGCUGCUGCUGCUGCUGGUGCGGUAGUUCCAACAGGAGUAACAGUAGGCUCUGCAAGGCGAGCAGGUGGUGCAUUAGUUCCUCUCAACAGCUCUUCUCGUUCCCGCCUACUUUUCUCUUCCAGCUCUAUCUCUCUCUGCCUUUGCUUCUCAAAAGCUUUAUCCAAGUUUGCUUUGCGUUCAGCUUCUACCUUCUUGAGCCUCUCAGCUUCU
rnacentral:sRNA from 1 species